ACGGAGUUCUUGGGUGAGACCUCCAGCCGCCGGAUGCGGUGCAGCACCUGGCUCCACUUCCCCGGAGCCAGGCGCGGAUCCUCCGGCCGGAUGGGGAUCUGAUCCAAGAGCGCGGCGUCU
rfam:Arthrobacter sp. RIT-PI-e NODE_35_length_34541_cov_20.8284_ID_69, whole genome shotgun sequence.